rnacentral:lncRNA from 1 species
GUUGGGUACCUUAGGCAUCGAUGCUACAGAUGGAAGUCAUUUGCUGUAGAAGCUCGGGCGGGAACUUUCUGUUGGAGAAGUUCGGUAGGAGUCCGAUUGCUAGAGAAGUCCGUCUGGAAUUUGUCUGAAGUAGAAGCUCGUCUGAAGACUGUCCGCUGGAGAGAUCCAAUUUCAAGAGGAAUCCAACAGAAGGUUGACUGAUAGUGGAGUUCGAAAGGCAUUGUGGAA